rnacentral:rRNA from 1 species
GACGAACGCUGGCGGCGUGCCUAAUACAUGCAAGUCGAACGCACUCUCGUUUAGAUUGACGGAGUUUGCUCCUGAUUGAUAAACAUUUGAGUGAGUGGCGGACGGGUGAGUAACACGUGGGUAACCUGCCCUAAAGUGGGGGAUAACAUUUGGAAACAGAUGCUAAUACCGCAUAAAACCUAACACCGCAUGGUGUAGGGUUGAAAGAUGGUUUCGGCUAUCACUUUAGGAUGGACCCGCGGUGCAUUAGUUAGUUGGUGAGGUAAAGGCUCACCAAGACCGUGAUGCAUAGCCGACCUGAGAGGGUAAUCGGCCACACUGGGACUGAGACGCGGCCCAGACUCCUACGGGAGGCAGCAGUAGGGAAUCUUCCACAAUGGACGAAAGUCUGAUGGAGCAACGCCGCGUGAGUGAAGAAGGUUUUCGGAUCGUAAAACUCUGUUGUUGGAGAAGAAUGUAUCUGAUAGCAACUGAUCAGGUAGUGACGGUAUCCAACCAGAAAGCCACGGCUAACUACGUG